rnacentral:rRNA from 1 species
AUCUGGGCGGCGAAAUUCAGGAAGACUGGCUGGCUUCGCGCUGGUUCGGUCGUUUGAUAUUUUCGUCGCCAUGUCAGACGUCGCGAUCUGUUCGUCGUCGGUCCUUGCUCGGAGGAAUCGCGAUCGAGUUCGUUGUGUGCGCGCUUCGGUGCGUUGCACGGUGAAGACGUGAAUCUCUGGCUGACGACGGACAGUAAGCAAUGGUGACCGACUUUGUGUCUCGUACGUGAGGUUGGCACCGAUCAGCGACGAUUUCUUCGGGCCUCUUUCCGACCCGUCUUGAAACACGGACCAAGGAGUCUAACAUGCGCGCGAGUCGCGGGGUAUCACAAUGAAACCCGUACACUUGAAGGCGUAAUGAAAGUAAAUAGGGAAGAUGGUGUUCCGAGUAUACGUACCGUGAUUAUUCGCGGCCGGACGCCCGCAUUCCCGGGGCGUCUCAACGGCUCAUCGCGGGUGCGGACAAUCGUCUCACGGGAUGGUUGUCGGUCUGCGAUGGUCCGA